rnacentral:rRNA from 1 species
AUUGAACGCUGGCGGAAUGCUUUACACAUGCAAGUCGAACGGUAGAGGGGGCAACCCCUCGAGAGUGGCGAACGGGUGAGUAAUAUAUCGGAACGUGCCCAGUCGUGGGGGAUAACGUAGCGAAAGUUACGCUAAUACCGCAUACGAUCUACGGAUGAAAGCGGGGGAUCGCAAGACCUCGCGCGAUUGGAGCGGCCGAUAUCAGAUUAGGUAGUUGGUGGGGUAAAGGCUCACCAAGCCAACGAUCUGUAGCUGGUCUGAGAGGACGACCAGCCACACUGGGACUGAGACACGGCCCAGACUCCUACGGGAGGCAGCAGUGGGGAAUUUUGGACAAUGGACGCAAGUCUGAUCCAGCAAUGCCGCGUGCAGGACGAAGGCCUUCGGGUUGUAAACUGCUUUGUACAGAACGAAAAGGACUCUAUUAAUACUAGGGCUCAUGACGGUACUGUAAGAAUAAGCACCGGCUAACUACGUGCCAGCAG